GAAUAAUAUUCGAUACGGAAAAAAAAAACGCUGCUGUUUAUAAGUUAGAAAACAUUAUAAAAGAAAAUGACAAAAAAAAAGAGUUUAUAAAAAAAAAACAAAUACAAAAUAUAUCAAAAAUUUUAUGACAGAAUAUGUAAAAAAAUUCGAAUUAUUCAUGAUGGCCCACCAUAUGCAAAUAAUGACAUUCAUAUCGGUCAUAUAUUAAAUAAAGUAAUAAAAGAUAUAUACUUAAAAUUUUUUUUUAUUAAAAAACUAUUAUGUUGUAUUAAUACAUGGAUUUGAUACACAUGGCUUACCAAUCGAAUAUAACGUAAUGAAAUUAUUAAAAAUAAAAAAUGUUGAUGAUAUUAAUUUAAACAGUUAUCCCUUUACAAAAUUAAAUAGACAAAGAAUUGUACAAAAUUGUGAUAAAAUAUAUCUUAAUAAAUUAAUUAAAAAAAAAAAAAAAAAAAAAAGACCUGUACAACAAUUAUUUUAUAACAUAAAAAAUGAACAAAACAGGUUUUUUGAUACUGAUGUAACAGAUAAAAAAAAAAAGAUUUUAUAUUUUAAAAAAUUAUGUAGGCUAUAUUCAUCACACUACAUUAAUGAACAAUUUAUUUCUUUGAUUUCUUAUGGUAUUUGGGGAAAAUGGGAAUAUUCAUAUAUAACUUUUUAUAAAUUAUAUGAGCAAAUCCAAAGAAAGGUUUUUGGGCAGCUCUUGAAACAUAACUAUAUUUAUAUGAGCAAUAGACCUAUACAUUAUAGCUACGCCACUAAAACGGUUUUGUCAGAUAGUGAGCUGAUUUACAAAAAUGUUACAUGUAACUCGUUUUACUUCUUUUAUAGCUUUAACAAAAUAAGUAUUGAUUUUUUAUUACAUUUUUUGAAAAGUUAUGAAGAUAAUAAUACCUUGAUAAAUGACUUACUUGGAUUAAAUAAAGAAGAAGAAUAUUUUGUUAUUAAUAAUCUGAGCGGUAUUAUAAAAUAUAUACAUUCGAACUAUGGAGCAAUACUUAAUGAAAAUUGUAGUGAUAAUAAUAUUAGAGACAGUGAAAGUGGUAAAAACUUACCCAGCUUAAUCAUAAAAAAAAUAAUAAAAAAAUAAUAAAAAAAAUAAAAAAUAACAUAAAAAUAUUAGUUUUUACUAC
rnacentral:lncRNA from 1 species